UCCCACAGGCCACCGCGACGGAAGAGGAAAGGACGCUACUUUCCCUAAAGACCACAGAGCAGCGACGGGGCGGCCAUACUGGGAGUGGCUAAGUACGGAGAUAAUUGAAGGGCACAUUGGGCGUGGCAGAGCCGCUGAGCUGUGAAACAUGGACAUUCACACAGUCGAUAAUACAGACAUUACAAUCCUUCGAGCUAUCAUGCUAUAGAAGAAUUCUGAAAAUACCAUGGAUAGACCAAGUAAUUACUCAAGGUGACUGAGGAGAUAUCUGAGCCAUUAGCAAUUAUCUUUGAAAAAUCAUGGAAGAUGGGAGACAUUCCAGAAGACUGGAAAAGGACUCCAGGCUGAAGACUGUGGGUGAGAGCUUCACUUCUCUGGCACAACGGAACUAUCUACAAUAAGGGUAAACCCCAUCUGUGUGGGAGACAGAACUUUCUUUGGGGCUGGUCCAAGACUUGAAUAAAAUCCCCCAGGAACUAAAAACCAUCACCUUCCCCACUCCAUGUGCCAGGGGCAUGUCUUUGAUCUGCCUUCUCUAAUUUAAACAUAUAGCAACAUUAAAAAAUAAUCCAAAACAAGACACUCCACUGUACAUACAUCUCCCCCUGGGGAGAGAAAGAGAGAACAAACGUGACAGAUGUCAGUCAGAUUACUUAAUGCCCUGCUGGAAGGUGCUCAAAUGCCCCGGUGUUGAGCGUGGUAUAAGAACCUAUAUAGACUAGAACAGAAAAGAUAAGAUUAGGACACUAUGGGGUUGUUUUAAUACUUUAAAGGAUAUUUGCACUGGAGAAAACUUUCAACAACGUCAGAUUUAAACUUGGAUGUGUUUUGUCUUGGAUGUUUUCUAUAAUUUUGCUUGGCACUUGUUGCUGAGGAUAAAUUCUGUUCACAUGCUCAUAAGGGCAUGUUCUUCCCCCCAUUGCAUCUAGUCCACAUAGUGGAGCAGCAACGUCAUAGUACUGAGUUUAAGAACAUAAGAAUGGCCCUACUGGGUCAGACCAAAGGUCCAUCUGGCCCAGUAUCCUGUCUUCCAACAGUGGCCAGUGCCAGGUGUCCCAGAGGGAAUGAACAGAACAGGUAAUCAUCAAGUGAUCCAUCCCCUGUCGCCCAUUCCCAGCUUCUGGCAAACAGAGGCUAGGGACACCAUCCCUGCCCAUCAGUCAUUUCUGCAGCCAUCAGGCUGAGAUGUGCUAAAUACUGAUGGAUUCUGACUCUGCUGCAUGAUCAAACAGAGGGAGACACUGGGAUGAGAUGGAGAAAGUUGCCAUUCAUACGCACCUGCUGUGUGAGGGUGCUGUUAGCAUCUAUAAAAUGAGCCCUACUAAAACAGCUACCAUCAAAAGAGAGAGGUAGAACUCACUCACCCCGCAGUUGCCAAAAAGCUGGCGUAGGACCCAAAGUGGGUUUUUCUCAUUUGUUUCUUUGCUUAUAACUCGGCACCCUGCACGCUUGCCUCCACUACAGAAAGAAUCAUCGUUAACAACAGGUGUCAGCACAGAGCACACUCCCGAACCUAUGCAUUACAGUAAAACCUCACAGUUACGAGACCAGAAUUACAAACUGACCAAUCAACCACACACCUCGUUCGGAACCGGAAGUACACAAUCAGGAAGCCGCAGAGACCAAAAAAAAAAAGCCAAUACAGUGAGGUAUUGCGUUAAACAGAAACUACUAAAAUAAUACAGGGGACGUUUAAAAAAAGAUUUGACAAGGUAAGGAAACUGUUUCUAUGCUUGUUUCAUUUGAAUGAAGGUGAUUAAAAGCAGCAUUUUUCUUC